UCCGUUAAACCGUUAAACCGAUACCAAUAAGCCAUUAAGCCUCUUUUGCGGUUUGAUUUUCGGUUUCCGUUUGAUUUUGAACACCCGUACUGUUCAUCGCCUUCUUCUGCCUCUCUAUCAUCUCUAUUUCAUCUUCCCAUGUUGCGAUUUUGCUGAUUUUGGCAUUUCAAGCAAUAUAUAAUGAAUUACCCAUUGGGCUAUGUUGGUUGCUCUCGGUGCUUUGAAUCCAGACCUGUUAGAGCUGACGAGACUAUUUCAGUUUGCGGAACCGAUUGGGGUUAGAGCUGACGAGACUGUUAGAUCAAGGAUGGUAUCUUUCAUUUAUGUGUUAUUGCUAGAUUUCCCCUUGUUAACAGGUGAUUCUACCAGUAUCUAUUGAUAUUAUGAGUUCUCAUAUCGCACAUGCUUCAGCUUUGGCUAAUUUACGAAAUCCAAGUUAUCAUCCGCCGAAUUUCUGACCUAGAUCUUGGAUCCAUUAAGGUAUUCACAUAGUUCAAAAGUUUGUUUUACUGCUCCUUUUUGUUACUUUUAUCUUUCUUUAACCAGUAAUUGGUAACGCUAAUACUAAUAUGUAGCCUGCUAAAUGAGUAAUGAUUUCAAAUUUUAUUGAACUGGAUUUCAGCUAUUUCAAUUCUAUUUAUUUUUGCAAUUAAAGAAUAUACAAUAUCUGAGGCCAAUUGUAUUCAACCGCUCGUUUGAGUUGUUUGAGACAAGUGACUGUAAUUAUCAAGGUUGUGCUUACUAUGUUUAUAUUCUCGCAUCAAACACUCUGUUAUUGUUGUAUUACAACAUAAUAUAAUUCCUAGACUCUUGGUGAAUAAUUUGUGUUUGAAAUGUUGGCUGGUUUUAUUGUUGAUGUUCUCCUCCAAGCAGUGUUUACAGCACUGUGGGUAAUCUUGACACUUAGUUCCUUUCACAAUAUAUUGUCCCCUUUUAUGGAAACUUUAUUUGUUGAUCUGACUUGAUAAGCAGUAGCUUUUGAUAGGUAUUAUCAUGCAUUUUGGUGAUUAUGUGUGACACCCUUCCUGCCUGGGAAGGUUAUGUUUUUCCCAAUAGCAUUUGUCAAACCAAAAUUAUUAACUUGUUGAAGAGCCUCGGUAAGGGAGCUUAACCCCAAUGAAGAAUAAAAGGAGAGCAAAGUGUCAUCAAUGGCGCGCGUAAGGAGAUUGAACUCUUUGAGACUAAGCGGUUCAUGCUGGCACAUCACUCUAUGCCAUUGGAUGUAUAUAUAUGUUGGCGCAAGAACGGUCACGCUCUUUAAACGCCAUAUAAGAAGAAGAAGAAGAAAGAGGCUUAAAUCAUCGCUUCCAAUCACGUUUAUUCUAAGUCCACAACAGAGUGAUUGUACCAGCAAAAAGUUAUUCAGAGCUGCUAUUGUGUGUUGACAACAUCGUUGUCCGUGAUAUAAGAGUAGCUUGCUUAUAUAGCUCUUGAAUGUCAGCACGAGCUUGAAACUGCCAAGGCAAACUCCUCCAUUGAACACAUAUAUACAUGAGUGUUAUGCCUGAGAUAAAAUAUUCACAAAAUUUGUCUUUGAAGAUGGACAGCUGCAUUUAAAGACUGCAAUUGAAGAAAAAUUUAACAUGAAAUUCUAAUUUCCUGAAAUGUUCAUAAGAAGUACUUUCAUCAUAGGCUUUAAUUAAUGACUAAUGUUCAUCUGAAGAAGAGACUUUUUAUCUUAGCAAUGACUAUUUUGACUACGUCCUACAUGAAAUUCAAUCUCCUAAAAUGUUUAUAACUACUUUCAUCACUGGCUUGUAAUUAGUGACAUGGAUGAAGUUGGUGAUUUCAUGUAGCUAUUACAUGUUAUAGCAGUUGAAGAAGGCAAGGAGGUUCCAUGUUAUGGUCAGCAAGCAAGAAUGUAAAUGUCUCUGUGAAAUGCUGUUAUGAAGUACUGAGAAAAUAAGUAGGUGAUUCUGAAAUUCACUGGCCUUGGAAAAUGCUGUGGAGAACUAAAGCGCCAUCUAAGAUUGUAUGUUUUUGGUAGAUUGCCGCGCGUGGCGCAUGUCUUAACUUGCAGAGGAGAGAGUAUAACUUAUGCAAUAGAUGCUUUUUUGUGAGAAUUUGACACUGAAAUAAUAAGCCACUUGCUUCUGCAUUGCAAACACACUUGGAUAAUAUGGACUCUAUUUCUAAAUAUAUUUUGGGGUGCAUUGGGUGAUGCCACAAAAUUUUAAGGAGCUACUUGACAGUUUGCAGGUUCAAGGCAAGGAUAGAAUGUUGAAGAAGACGCGGAAGCAAAUUCCCUUAUGCAUCAUAUGGACAGUUUGACUUGACAGGAACAAGAGCUGUUUUGAAAGAAAAAUGAGUCCUUUUCUGUUGUGAAGUAUAUAUUCAGAUUUAUCUUGCUGGCUUAGAGGAGAACAUGUUGUUAGCAUCUGAAAAAGAAACUUUUUAUCUUAGCAUUGGUUGAGUAAAUUCCAGAUUAAAUUGUUGGGCCCGUGUUGUUCACGGGCCAUGCACAUCUAUUAAUGUUAUAGAAGAGCUGGGAGUUUCGACGUGUCUGCUUCAUGUCAUUUAAAUAAAACUGAGGGUAAUUUAGACUUUUCAUUAACCCGUAUGAGCUGCUGCUCUUUUCCGAUGACAUGAAUCCUCUUUCAAUUUUUCCUCCUAAUAUUUAUCGCUUUCGCUUCUGAUUUUUUAUUCAAAUUUCUCCAUUUUGAUUCCAGCUUCUCUGUGGCAUAUGCUGCUUAUGUAUGUCUAUGACCUCCUGUUUUAUGGAUUUCUUUCUUGCUUGCUAUCUGUUCAUCGCCUUCUUCCGUCUCUCUUUCGUCUCUAUUUCAUCUUCCCAUGUUCGGAUUUUGCUGAUUUUGGCAUUUCAAGCAAUAUAUAAUGCAUACCCAUUGGGCUAUGUUGGCUGCUCUUGGUGCUUUGAAUCUAAAACUGUUAGAGCUGACGAGACUAUUUCAUUUCUUGGAACCUAUUGGGCUUAGAGCUGACGAGACUGUUAGAUCAAGGAAAACAAAACAAAAUUCUCUAUGUCCACCUUCAAAUCAGGGGCUAAAUGAGGGAAAGAACUCACUCGGUAGAGAAAUUUAAGAGAAUAGCAACUGAGAGAUCAAAAUGAACUGUCGAUCGGAUCGGAAAAGUCAGCUUCACUAGGUGAAUGAUUAUGCCUGUAAGAACAAUAAAAAUUUAUAUGUAUUCCUCUGAAUUUUUAAUUGCUUUUUGUAAUCACAAAAAAAUGAAGAUUUGACGUUCCUAAAUUUUAUGAGGCCAAAUAUUUCACAUAGAAGCUGAACUCGCACUACCAAAUGAGAACUAGCAGUUCUGUUUCUUAGCCUGUUCAAGAUUGCAAGCAGAUCUUUACAAGAACUACUUCACGGAGAUAGUUUUACUGCACUAACUGUCAUCGAUCCACCCAGCUUAUAGUACCCAGGUAAAAUACUACAAGAUUCAUCGACACAACUGUUUCCAGUUUAAUAUGAUCUAUUUUUCACCCAUCACAAAUGCAAUAUUGUUAUUUUUCUUAGAUAGAGGCUUAGGUCAAUACGUUACAUGUGUCUUCUUCUCUUAAAACUUUUAGAAGUCGUGAAUGGUGCUUUUACUCUCAGGAGUUCAAAAAAGAUAACACAUCGUAUGAACUGCAAAAAUAUCUCCUUGGAUGUUUGGCUUUGUUUGAGAGAAAUAGGGGAAGAGAGUGAAAACAUGAACACAUUACAGAGCAAAGUGAGUAAAAACCAACGGUAAAAAAUGGAUGUGUCCUUUUUAUUUAAAGCGUUUCUAUAGAUUCUUGAUGUUUUUACUUUCCUUCUUUCAAUUUCCACAUUCCCAGCACUCUUUCUGUUUCCGUCUGAAAUUUGUCUUCUUCUAGAAGGGCAUAGAGGUCCCAAUUUCUUGCUUAGCUCAUUAUACGAACAACAGUAAUGAACACUUACGCAGUUUUUGUGUGUCAUUUCUAUAUCUAUCAUUUGAUAUAUUGCACGCGAGCCUGAAUUUUCAUAGGCUCAACUUGAUUUCAGACGAUCCUGCAGCAAAAAUGUUACUUCUCACUCCGUAAGAGAUUUAUGAUAUAUGUAAUGUGAGGUACGUAUUGCUCUUAAACUUCAAAAAGCCACAAACAAGUAGCUACUGCAAGAUGACCGUCUUUUGAUACAUAAUAACUAAUGUCAUCCUUCUAGAAGCAAAUUUUGCCCCUUGCGAACGUCCAAAUAACUGUCUGGCAAGAUAUUCAAUAUUCAAAUGAAAAAGAUGUUUACUAAGAAUCAGGAUGCAAUAUAGAAAAGCUAUUUGUUUUGUCUUUUAUGGACAAAGAUAAUGUGAUCAACCCACAGAUGGCAUCCAUUACCAUGGACGUUGCAGCGGGAAGCAAACAUAAAAUAAUACUCAUCGGUAUAGAGGAAGGAGAGGACCGCCACACAACACAGGCAAUACUUCCUACCACAAGCAUAAGCAUGGGAUGGAAAUAAAAAUUCCUCCCUCGAAAAAGUGCUGAAAGGUAUUCUGCAACAUACACAUCCAUCAUCCACUGAGUCAAAAGGUGUUAAUUGCCUAGAUUUAAUGGCUAUGUCUGACUCAGUGUUGUAAAUAGCGCUCGCUACGUCACUAAUAGCGAGUAGCGACGCGAAGCGAGGCUCAGACUUUUUUUUGGUCUGUUGCGAUGCGUUUUUAAAAAGCGCCGGCGAGGCGACAGAGGCGUUGUUUUUUGAAAAAAAGAAGGCUUAAAUAAAAAUUAGGGUUUUCUCGACUCCCAGCAUAUAGCAGGAACACCUAAAUUAGUUGGGAUGCAGAAGGACUAUAGGGUUCUCUUCAUGGUUGAUGAUUGAAGGAUAAGUAUAAAGGUCUGCAGAAAGUUAUUAAGGAUGUGCCUGAAGACAAGGUUGACAAGGUCGUUGUUUCUGAUUGUGUCACUGUUCUUAGUGUUAUUUUAUUAUUGUUGCAUGUGGAGACUUGUGAAGGCUAAAGCUCUAAAUAGUUCUAGUAAGAAGAUAAUAUAAAUCAACCCACACAAUGCCAUGGACUGUGAAUGUUUAUCCUUAAUAUUGUAGACAAUAAUGAUAAGUCAGUUAUGAAGGUUUUUUCCUGUUGCUGCUUGA